GGCAAGGGUACUCUGUGUCACAUUGAUAACUACAAGUGGAACAAUUUGUAACCUUGCUAUAUUAAUUAGAUAUUUUGAAACUCUAAAGUCCAUUUGUUAAUUAA